AGCAGCUGUCAAAAUCCGGGUAACCGACAUCCCAUCAAAAGAGUAACCUUUACCCUGAUUAUGGGUAAACGAAUCUUCGCGGAAAUCUCGAUACCCAAUUUAUCUUGUUGUGUGUAGACGUCAACAUCUGGGUAAAGAUCAGGGUAAAUGGGUGUUGGAUAUUUUUUGCAUUUUCCGUGGCGGCGUCUAAUCCUAGUCUAAUCCAAAAAAGGAAUCCUUGGAGGAACUUUUGCUAGCGAAAACCGCAAACUUUUGACUGGGAUACUGCGCCGCUUACCCGGAUAUAAUAGAAUUGGCCAUGUUUGUCGUAAUAACCCGCGCCCGACGUAGUCGGAACGAGUGAUCGUUGGUCACCUGUAAUGGCCACAGGAAUUAAGGAUCUGUCCCAACUGUGAAAAUUCACACAAAGGCUCUUCUGGUGCCUGUGAGACUGGCCACAUUCAAAGUUGGAUCAUCUUUAUUGUAAAAGGAGCCGUUUUGUAGGAAAUUUAUUUAUACUUGUUUUUGAUAUAUGAAUAAAUCGCUUUUGUGUUUUA